GCGAACGAAGGAACGAGAACGCGCGCGCACGCGGCGCCCCCACCCUCGCGUCGCGCUGUUGCAAGAGGGCGGGCGCGGCGCGCGCACGUACGCACGGACGUCCUCCGGAGGGAGGCGGGAACUUGGGGCGCGGGCGCGCAGACGUUCUGGCCGCCCUUCCUGACCUCCGUGGCCGGCGCAUGGAGUCCGCCCCGUUGCAGUUCGGCUCGCAGUGAGGGUUUAGAGUCAGAGGCUCUUGACGCUGAACUACCUUUGGUCUGGGUGGUUAAGAGCUCGGCCGCGGCGAUGGUGCGGGGAAGAGCGGGCAAGGGUGGAAGGCCGGAGUGUCUCUCUGGCGGCGAGGUCCCCAGAAGCGGGCGCGUCUCCGCCGAAACCUCACUCGGCGCGGGGUCAGACGCCUUGGCCUCCUGGCUCCGAGGUGCCGGCCUCCUGGGUCGCUGUGCUUUAACUGGCCGCGUUCCUUUGGAUGGUUGUGUCUCAGGGGAGCAGUAAAGUGAGGAUUUUUGUUUUUAACUGGUGGCGUACCAGAAAUAGGCUGAAAAGACCCAAUGAGGAAAAACAGCUAUUUUAGCAGCUAUUUUUAGCUUCUUAAGGUGAUUGAUUCUCUGACGUUGCUACGCUUCAGAAAACCAAUCAACUGAGAAGCUUUUAAAAAGCAGAGCUGUUCCAGGACCACACCCCAGACCUACAUCAGGAAGUGGGGGUGAGCUCAUGAAUGUUGAAAGCGCUUUGGCUGAUUCUGAUGUGCGUCAGUUUGGGGAGUCACGAUCUAACCAGUAUUAUGUCCUGAGAGUCUCACUUAGUGCCCUGGCGGGAGUUGGGUUGCAAAUGCCUUAACAGUGUCGGUAAUAGAAGCUUUCAGGAAGGGUCUUUAUUGAGAAACAAGUACUACGGCUGUUUUAAUGUUAGGAUUGUGAAGUGCUUUCCUCUUCUGACAGUGUUCCCAAGAAACCGUUAUUCUUGAGCUGGUAAAAGUCCUUAAACCACCUCGAAACAUUUUUCAUUUAUUCGUUCAAAAAUAGUGACCUCUUACUAUGAGUCAGGUAGUGUUUUAGAGAUGCUAGGAUUACAGCAAAGAACAAAGGAGAUCCUUACUUUCAAGGAGUUUGCAGUCUGGAGGAAGAGUGACAUAAAUAUAUGCAGGGAGUGAUAAAUGCUAUGAAGAAAAGAAAGCAGAGUAAAAGAGAUUAGAGAUGAUUGGGGAAGGCCUCGGCUGAUAGGUGAACAAGCUUGUGGUUCUCUUGCGGAAGAGUGUUUCAGGCAGAGGAACAAACGCGAUCCUGCCCAGAAGCCAUUAAGCGGGAUCAACAAUGCGGGUAUUUGUGCCAGAGAGAGAGAGCAGCUGUGCUCAAGGGCAGAGUCAGAGACUAAGGAGGGUUUACCCCUGGGGAGAGGGGUCAGCCUCUGCAGGAUGAAGAGAGAGGCUUCUAUAUGGGAGGUUGGGCCAUCAGGAGUUUGCUGAACAAGCAGGGUGAAGAGUGUGUCCAUGCAGGGGAUUAUCACCCAGCACAGACAGUCAAAGCCAGAGAAGAGUGGGGACACCCAGCAUGGGACAUCAGAGCCAGCACAGGGUGAGGAGAGUGGCCAGCACAGGGGGAUGGCCUGGCCCUGGCAUCAGAGCCCACGAUGGAUGGGGAAGGCAUCUGUGUAGCAGGAAGGCCCAGUGUAGGGUUUUAGACUCUGAGCAGGGUCAGGAAGACAUCCAAUGGGAGAACAGCUUUGCAUGGGCAGGGGUUAGCCCAGCAUAGGGUAGCCCAAGAGGGUUAAGAAGGGCAUCAGUGCAGGAAUGGAACCCAUCGUAAUGUGUCAGAGCCUUGGUGGGGUGGGGACAUCCUCCUCAGUUACAAAUAUGGAAAGAGAAAACUAGAACAAACUCUGCAAUGCUGGGUUGGAAUUGUGGUAUCUAUGUGUCCUCAUGGGUGUCAAUAUAUAGAGAUAGUUACAGAAAUAAAUACAUAAAUGAGAGAAAUGUAUAAUUGUAUAUGUAUGUAUAUAUAAUGGAAGCAAAAAUUUUACCUCUACCCUCUUAAGGUCUCUGGCUGGGCCUGAGAAUUAAAUUGACAUAAGACAGAUUAAGGGACUUCCCUGGUGGUCUAGUGGGUAAGACUCCACGCUCCCAAUUCAGGGGGCCUGGCUUCAGUCCCUGGUCGGGGAACUAGAUCCCGCACGCAUGCCACAACUAAGAGUUUGCAUGCCACAACUAAGAGUCCACAUGCUGCAACUGAGUCUGCAUGCCACAACUAAGAAGUACACAUGCCACAACUGAAGAUCCUGCAUGCCGCAACGAAGACCUGGGGCAGCCUAAAUAAAUAAGUAAAUAAAUAUUUUUUUAAAAAACAUUAAGAGGAGUAAAGCAUACAGAUUUAUGUAAUACAAGUUUUAUGUGACUUGGGAGCCCUCAUAAGGAAAGGACCCAAAGCAAUGACGAAACCUAAGGGCUUAUAUAUUAAGUUGAACAAAGAGAGGCAAUUGUGGAAGAGUAACUUAAAUAUAUGGGGAGACUAAAGGAAGAUAAGAGUUAUUUUAACAAGGUCUGUUGUAUACAAUUUUCUCAGCAUCGACUCCCUAUCUCUGGUGAUAAGAAUGUGUCUUUCCUCCUGGUAUAAGGAAUACAUCUUUUACAUGGGGGUUUCAUCUCCUGCUUUCAGGUAGAAAAGGGGAAGUCAGAACACCCUUCCUGCACCUGCUGUUUUUUAAGACCAUUUUGUUCAAAAUAAUCCUUAGGCCAUAUUAGCACAUUUUGGGGUGGCAUAUUCUGCCACCCUUUACAUAUUUACGUAUAUGUGUGUACAUAGAACAUAUGUUCCUUAGGUCUCUCCACUGAGAGGCUUGGGAGCAACAAUACCCCAAUAGCAACAAAUACACCUAGCACAUAUUGUACAUCAACAAUACUUCAGUAAAAAAAUUAAAUUAAAAAAAUAAAAUUAAAGUAGAUGUUACAGAUUCACAGCCCCUCAUUUACAAUUCUAAAACUUCACAGGUUUUAAAAAGAAAUUUUUUGUUUUUGUAAUUUCUGGCAGUAAAACCUGAAGUCUGCUAAAAAUAAUAAUAAUAAUACACCUAGCACCCAGAUCCUAGCUCUUAAAUACCCUUCUCUUUUAAAAAGAACUAGAGCCCUUUGGUGAAAUGGCUGAUUCCAAGCCUACAGCAGAGAAAACAGAAGAUGAGCUGGGAAUAUUUUAUUGUUGCAGGUAAAGAAGUCUUCAUAAAAUGAUGGUAACACAUUAAAAGGUAAGAAAAGCCAGCUUUAAUAAGUUUUGAGUAGCCAAAUCUGGAACAAUUUGAGUAUCAAAAUAAGUAAUGAUAGGAACAGAUUAUAACCCACUGAAUAAAAUAGGAAACCAUGAAUCCAAACUGAUGAAAAGAAAUAAAUCGAAACUUUGUUGAGGAAAUUUUAUUAACAUAUCCUCAAAGUUUACAUAUUUGCAUAAUUUAGUAUCUCAUUUAUAUACUUAACGUAGUAUCAAAAUAUUACAAAAUAUUUAUUAAUUACAAAUAAAAAAGGAGUAACUUUUUAGUGGAGAAGAGUAGCAGACACUGCCUUAGUCACAAAUUGAAUUUAAGCCACCAGUAAUGAGACAAAUCAAAACUAUAUUAGGAUGGCAUGAGAACACAGAACAUAAUUCUUUUACAUUCCUGCUAAAAUUGUAUAACCUGCAUCUAGUCAUGAGGAAACAUCAGAUAAACACAAACUGAGAGAUAUUCUACAAAAUAGCAUGUCUCCAAUCUUCAGAAUUUCAAGGUCAUUUGGAAACCACGUUAAGAAGAUGGCAAAGCUGCAAUAUGGAAGAAGCAUGGAAUCUUGAAUCACUAUCUACUGAUCAGGACCAUUGGCUUCGGAAUUUAUGGGAGUGAUAAUUAAACUUCUGCUUGAGCCACUAUUCACUUGAAGGGCCAAAAGAAAAACUAUCAAGGUCACAAACAUCAAGGAGAGACUGAGGAACUAUUCCAGAUUGAAGGAGAUUAAAAAGACUGACAAAAUGCAAAUCAAAACCACAAUGAGAUACCACUUCACAUACAUUAGGAUGGCUAUUAUCAAAAGAAAAGAAGAAAAAAAGAAAACAAGUGUUGGCUUUUAUGUAGAGAAAUUGGAACCCUUGUGCAUUGCUGAUGGGAAUGUGAAAAGGUGCAGCCACUCUGGAAAACAAUAUGGCACUUCCUCAAAAACUUACACUUAGAAUUACCAUGUGAUCCAGCACUACCACUUCUGGGUAUACACCCAAAAGAACUGAAAGCAGGAACUUGAACAGAUAUUUGUACAUCAAUGUUCAUAGCAGCAUUAUUCACAAUACCUAAAAGUUGGAAACAACUCAUGUCCCCUGAUAAAUGAAUGUAUAAACAAAAUGUGGUAUAUACAUACCAUGGAAUAUUAUUUAGCCUUAAGAAGAAAGGAAACUCUGACACAUGCAACAACAUGGAUGGAACUUGAAGACAUUAUGCUAAGUGAAAAAAGCCAAACACAAAAAGACAAAUAUUGUAUGAUUCCACUUAUGUGAAGUACCUAGAAUAGUCAGAUUCACAGAGACAGAAAGCAGAAUGGUGGUUGCCGUGGUGUGGGAAGGAAAAAAAUGGAGAAUUAUUGCUUCAUGGGUAUGAAGUUUCAUUUUGGAAAGAUGGAAAAGUUCUGGAGACAGAUGGUGGCGAUGGUUGCACAAAAUGUGAAUGUAUUCAUGCCACUGAGCUGUAUAUUUUUAAAUGGUUAAAAUGAUAAAUUUGUUUUGAUACAAAGGACAUUUCUGGAUCGAUUGGUAAAACUUAAAUGGGUCUGAGGUAGUAGUGAUGUAUGGUCUUGAUAGUUGUGCUGUGGCUACUUAGGAGAAUAUCCUCAUUUGUAGGAAAUACUUGAAAAUGUUUGAGAAUGAUGGGGCAUCUCUGUUUGCUCUCAAAUGAGCCAGGAAAAGAAAACAACAUUUUUCUGCUGUGCUUAUAACUCUUUAACAUACUUAAGGUUAUUUCCCCAAAAAAUUUAAAGGUAAAAUUAAAAGUGGAAAUUAGCAGUGGUCUGUUAGAUAGUUGAGAAAAAUGAAUCCUGGGUUAGUUUUAGCAUCAGGAUUUAAGCACAGGUCUCCUAGAUUAUAGCCUUGGAGCACUUUCGCAUAAAGUCAAUACAAUGUUAACAUAAUAAAGACUCCAUCGUAGUACGUAUUUUUGUAUAUAUGGUGUUUUAUUUGUUAAAGGUUGGCUUUUUCUAACUACCUAGCACAUUAUCGUGUUAUGAAUCACCAUUCUCCAGACAAUGUAUCCUUAGGAAAGAUAGCCAUAAGUUAAUAAUAAGGAAGAGAGAAUGGAAAUAGGAAACCAAGGCUGAUGGACAAAAAAUUGUCUGUAUUCUAAAACUAACUACAAAUGAUUUAAAAAUUUUUUUUGUUAUUUUGUAUUAUACUUGUCAUAGAAAUGUGUGGGUUUACUAGAGGAAGUUAGUUACAACUAACUUCCCUUAGUUGUAAAUAUACUAUGGUCAAUAGAAAGUGCUGCCUACCUAUUUUUAAUUACUUUUAUAUUUUAUUUGGCCUUAAAAAGGUUGUCUUUUAUUAUGCAAAUAUACAAAUUAGUCACUGAAAGGAAUGGUCCAGGGAUUGGACCAUUUUGAAUUGGAAUAGAAUUGCUAAGUAGAUUGAUGGCUAAUGUCACUGAAAAAGCAGGGAAGAAUUGGGAUCCGGAAAUGGCCUUGGUGGAUAGGUGGGAUGGUCUGGGGCAAUUUUUCUCAAGUUAAUGGACAGAAGGAAGAUGUGAAAGGUCAGGGGCCAAAUCUGGCCUGCUUUUGCAUGGUCCCAGAAGGUAAGAAUGAUUUUAAUGGAUGAACAACUGAUCAGAGCCCCCAAUUAAUUAAUGUUAUUCCUAAAAAAAAAAAAAAAUCAUUCUUCUCGUUAGUAGACCUUUUAUAUAAAAACUCAUGUAAUAUCCUUGAGUUUGCCUCUUGGCCUUCAAAGUCUAAAAUAUUUACUAUCUGCCCCUUUACAGAAAUGUUUGCUGAGCCUUGUUCUAGAGGUAGAAAAUGGUCUAUGUUCAUAUGAAGAAUGGAGUUUCAGCAAAAGUUGGAAUUCUUGACAGACUCAAUUAUUUGUGAAGAGUUGUCUGCUGAGAGUGAUGGAAAAGUGGCUGAUAGGGAAUUUUUGAAAUAAUUGCUGUGGGAAGUGCCCACAUAUGAUAAAGGGACAGUUCAAAUCAUGGAGAAGAGUUAGGUCUUAAUAAGUGAUGUUUGUGCAACUGGCUGGUCAUACACAGCAAAAAGAAAAUUAGGUCGUUACCUCACUCCUUUGCCAAAUAACUGUGGAGAGAUGAAAAUUAGAAAUGUGAGAGAAUGAAAACAUUAAAGUACCAAAAGGAAGUUUGGGUAAAUGUCUUUUAUAAAUUUGGUAUGAGAAAUGUCUUUUGAAUCUUGAUGAAGAUUUAAGAAAUAAAAGUUGAGGCCGUACCUUUGACUACAUAAAAAAUUUAAAACAGGUAUAGACCCCCUCCCUUAAAAAAAACAAAAAAAGAUAUUCAAGGCUAAAAAGCAAUUCACAAAUGGAAAAAUAUGUACACAACAUAUAUGAUAAAGGGUUAAGAUCGUAUCUCUUAACAGUAUUUUUUAUUGUUUAUUUUUAAAAUUUUAAUCAGAUGAAGUUGAUAUUCUUUGUUCUAUGAAGGCUGUCUUAGUUAUGCAAAUGUAAUUGGUGAAGGCACCCACUGUCCUGCAAGAAGAUUCUAACAAAACUUUUUGGUGUGUUGGACUUCCCUGGUGGCGCAGUGGUUAAGAAUCCGCCUGCCAGUGCAGGGGAAACAGGUUCGAGCCCUGGUCCGGGAAGAUCCCACAUGCCGCAGAGCAGCUAAGCCCAUGUGCCACAACUACUGAGCCCGGGUGCUGCAACUCCUGAAGCCCACGCACCUGGAGCCUGUGCUCCACAACAAGAGAAGCCACCGAAAUGAGAAGCCCACGCACCGCAACAAAGAGUAGCCCUCACUCGCCGCAACUAGAGAAAGCUUGCGUGCAGCAGCAAAGACCCAACACAGCCAUAAAUAAAUAAAUUAAAUUAAAGAAAAAAACUUUUUGGUGUGUGUGUGUGUGUUUCUUUCCAAUUAGCAGCUGCCUCACCUUAGUUUUACCUAGUGGGUCACUGGGGAGGACGUGAAUCAGUUUGCCUUAGAAGCCUGGUACCCAUAGGGAAGAGGAGACCAAAAACCCUUUAUGCUCACCAAGAUCUGAAGUUAAGGAGAAUUUAUGUGGAUGUGCAAAGACUCAGUGGCAAAGGAGGACUGAGUAGACACCAGUUCUAGUUCUCUCUGUAUUUGGCUAUUAAAAGAGGUGCCCUUUGGGCUGAGUAAGCCCCCCUCAGUAUUCUUGGACAAUCAGUGGAGACGAGGGAAAACCACAGUGGAGAAAACUAGACUUUCUUCUAAUAGGGCAUGUGGCAGGCCUUGAAAAUUAAUGGAUGUACUUGACCACAUUUGUACCUUGAGUUUGUGGAGCAGAUCAUACUAGUUACACUAGUAUGGAAAGAACUCUUUUAAAAAUCAAGAAUAAAGGUCCUACUAAGUAGCACAGGGGACUAUAUUUAAUAUCCUGUGAUAAACCAUAAUGGAAAAGAAUAUUAUAAAAAAGAUGUCUAAAAUAAAAAAGAAAGCUACUGAACCACCACCACCACCCCCAAAAAUCAAAAAGAUAAAAGCAUUCAAUAUAGAAUAAACAAAAA